UUUGAUCAUCAACUUUCAUUUGAGAGAGUAAUGCAAGAGAAAAAGAACACAGUACUCCAAGAAGCCAUAGCUUCUGGCAGAUGUUGCAAGAAUGAGUUAGAUCAUUGACCUUUUUUUCUGGGGCACUGUGUCAAUUUUGAGUGGAGUUUCCAAUUGCACAAUAGCAUCUGGACAGUUUUGACAUCUUUAUUACACUCUGCCCAUCUUGAAAAUGGAAAAAUACUUAAGUCAUGGUAUCCGGCUUCAAGAAGCAUGCACCACUUAUGAAUGUAAGAAACCAACAUCUUUUUUGUCAUAAUCUAUAUUAAAAUUAUCAUUAAUUGGAUGCCAUGGAGUAAAUCUAGAAGCCUGAACAAAGAUAAAUGUAUCUCAUUUCCAACUUUACAAGUGUCUCUUGACAAGUAACAUGUGCAUAUUACAAACCCAAAGGCAUGUCUGAAGUGAUUCUUCUGGAGACUUACAUUCCUCAAAGCUCUCUCUCUCCUCAAAGUAUCACCACUUUGUUUCAGAGAAGAAAAUGUGUAAAUGUGUAAUGGAAAUGUGUAAAUGAUUAAAGCAUCUGUAUAAACAAAGAA